rnacentral:rRNA from 1 species
UACGUAGGGUGCAAGCGUUUAUCCGGAAUUAUUGGGCGUAAAGAGCUCGUAGGCGGUUUGUCGCGUCUGCUGUGAAAACUGGGGCUCAACCCCCAGCCUGCAGUGGGUACGGGCAGACUAGAGUGCGGUAGGGGAGAUUGGAAUUCCUGGUGUAGCGGUGGAAUGCGCAGAUAUCAGGAGGAACACCGAUGGCGAAGGCAGAUCUCUGGGCCGUAACUGACGCUGAGGAGCGAAAGCAUGGGGAGCGAACAGG